UAAUCUUUCUUUAUGUUUUUUUUUUUUGAUUUGGCAUGAGCGAUUUCCGGUCCUCACUCCAAGCCAGUUGGUGGCGGUAAUGCACCACAUGUUCUAUCACAGCUGCGUCCGAGAGGACAGGAAACGUCUGUAUGCGUCUGCAAACCAGGGAUCCUCAUUUUUUUGGUGAGGAAGAUCAGCAGCUGUGUCGACAGGCAACAGGUGAAAAGUACCUGAAAUGGGUGAAAGAUUUUGUUUCCAAAAACAAAAGCAUGUGCGUUCACCUGAAGAAGCCAAGUGGUGCUGACCUGUGGAUAGAAGAGCUUGAGAA